GUUGAUCCUGCGGGAGAUUGCUGCUAUUGGAAUUCGAUUGAGCCAUGCAAGUCAAGGGGCUCUUCGGAGCACCGGCAGAACGCUCAGUAACACGUCGAUAAUCUGCCCUUAAGCUUGGGAUAACCUCGGGAAACUGAGGCUAAUACCAAAUAUGGGAGAUGCUUUGGGGAGACUUUUCCCUUAAACGUAAGGCUUAAGGAUGAGACGGCGGCGGAUUAGGCUGUUGGCGGGGUAACGGCCCACCAAACCAAAGAUCCGUAGGGGCCUUGAGAGAGGUAGCCCCGAGAAGGACACUGAGAUACUGGUCCUAGCCCUACGGGGUGCAGCAGGCGCGAAACCUUUACAAUGCACGAAAGUGUGAUAAGGGAAUUCCAAGUGCUUAUGCUUUGCAUAGGCUUUUGCCAAGAGUAAAAAUCUUGGCGAAUAAGUGGUGGGUAAGACUGGUGCCAGCCGCCGCGGUAACCCCAGCGCCACAAGUGGGAGUCGAUUUUAUUUGGCCUAAAGCGUCCGUAGCCGGUUUGGUAAAUCUUUUGUGAAAUCGUUCGGCUUAACCGAACGGCGUGCAGAAGAGACUGCUAGACUAGGAACCGGGAGGAGUCAGAGGUAUGCUAGGGGGAGCGGUAAAAUGCUAUAAUCCCUGGUAGACCACCUGUGGCGAAGGCGUCUGACUAGAACGGAUUCGACGGUGAGGGACGAAAGCCAGGGGAGCGAACCGGAUUAGAUACCCGAGUAGUCCUGGCUGUAAACGCUGCGAGCUAGGUGUUGCAUAUUCUACGGGAAUAUGCAGUGUCGAAGCGAAGGUGUUAAGCUCGCCGCCUGGGAAGUACGGUCGCAAGACUGAAACUUAAAGGAAUUGGCGGGGGAGCACCACAAGGGGUGCGGCGUGCGGUUUAAUCUAACUCAACGCAGAGAAUCUCACCAGAUGCGACGGUAGGAUGAAAGUCAGCCUAAAGGGCUUACUUGACUAGCCGAGAGGUAGUGCAUGGCCGUCGUCAGCUCGUGCCGUGAGGUGUCCUCUUAAGUGAGGCAACGAGCGAGACCUGUACCUACACUUGCAAACAAGUCCUUUUGGAUGAUUGUGCACAGUGUAGGGACUGCCGUGGAAACGCGGAGGAAGGUGCAGGCUACGGCAGGUCUGUAUGCUCCGAAUCUUCUGGGCAACACGCGCGCAACAAUGGUAUGGACAAUGGGAUGCAACUCCGAAAGGAGGAGCUAAACCUCGAAACCAUAUCCAAGUCCAGAUUGAGGGCUGUAACUCGCCCUCAUGACGCUGGAAUCCCUAGUAAUCGGACGUCAACAUCGUCCGGUGAAUAUGUCCCUGCUCCUUGCACACACCGCCCGUCAAACCAACCGAGCAGGGUCUAGAUGAGCCGUGACUUAUUGGUUACGUCGAAUCUAGGCUCAGUGAGGUGGGUUAAGUCGUCACAAGGUA
rnacentral:rRNA from 1 species